GGAGGGUCAAAGCAACAUGUGCUGUUCGGCCGCAGAAGUCAGCAGAGGUCAUAGUAGCGGCAUCGGAAUGACGUGAAGGAC
rfam:Sphaerochaeta globosa str. Buddy, complete genome.